AUUGAACGCUGGCGGCAGGCCUAACACAUGCAAGUCGAACGAGUGGCGGACGGGUGAGUAAUGUCUGGGAAACUGCCUGAUGGAGGGGGAUAACUACUGGAAACGGUAGCUAAUACCGCAUACCAUCAGAUGUGCCCAGAUGGGAUUAGCUAGUUGGUGGGGUAAAGGCUCACCAAGGCGACGAUCCCUAGCUGGUCUGAGAGGAUGACCGGCCACAUUGGAACGGAGACACGGUCCAGACUCCUACGGGAGGCAGCAGUGGGGAAUAUUACACAAUUGGCGCAAGCCUGAUGCAGCCAUGCCGCGUGUAUGAAGAAGGCCUUCGGGUUGUAAAGUACGUUCAGCGGGGAGGCGUUACCCGCAGAAGAAGCACCGGCUAACUCCGUGCCAGCAGCCGCGGUAAUAC
rnacentral:rRNA from 1 species